GAAACAGAUGCUAAGACUGGAUAGGAAAUAAAAAGGCAUCUUUUUAUUUUUAAAAGACCUUUUUCGGAAGGUAUGCUUAAAGAGGGGCUUGCGUCACAUUAGUUAGUUGGCAGGGUAAAGGCCUACCAAGACUAUGAUGUGUAGCUGGACUGAGAGGUUGAACAGCCACAUUGGGACUGAGACACGGCCCAAACUCCUACGGGAGGCAGCAGUAGGGAAUUUUCGGCAAUGGAGGAAACUCUGACCGAGCAACGCCGCGUGAACGAUGAAGUAUUUCGGUAUGUAAAGUUCUUUUAUUGAAGAAGAAAAAAUAGUGGAAAAACUAUCUUGACGAUAUUCAAUGAAUAAGCCCCGGCAAACUAUGUGCCAGCAGCCGCGGUAAUACAUAGGGGGCGAGCGUUAUCCGGAAUUAUUGGGCGUAAAGGGUGCGUAGGCGGUUUAAUAAGUCUAUAGUUUAAUUUCAGUGCUUAACACUGUCCUGCUAUAGAAACUAUUAGACUAGAGUGAGAUAGAGGCAAGUGGAAUUCCAUGUGUAGCGGUAAAAUGCGUAAAUAUAUGGAGGAACACCAGAGGCGUAGGCGGCUUGCUGGGUCUUUACUGACGCUGAGGCACGAAAGCGUGGGGAGCAAACAGGAUUAGAUACCCUGGUAGUCCACGCCGUAAACGAUGAGUACUAAGUGUCGGGAUUACUCGGUACUGAAGUUAACACAUUAAGUACUCCGCCUGAGUAGUACGUACGCAAGUAUGAAACUUAAAGGAAUUGACGGGACUCCGCACAAGCGGUGGAUCAUGUUGUUUAAUUCGAAGAUACACGAAAAACCUUACCAGGUCUUGACAUACUCUGCAAAGCUAUAGCAAUAUAGUGGAGGUUAUCAGGGAUACAGGUGGUGCAUGGUUGUCGUCAGCUCGUGUCGUGAGAUGUUAGGUUAAGUCCUAAAACGAGCGCAACCCUUGUCAUUAGUUGCCAGCAUGUCAUGAUGGGCACUUUAAUGAGACUGCCAAUGAAAAAUUGGAGGAAGGUGAGGAUCACGUCAAAUCAUCAUGCCCCUUAUGAUCUGGGCUACAAACGUGAUACAAUGGCUGUUACAAAGAGUAGCUGAAACGCAAGUUUAUAGCCAAUCUCAUAAAAGCAGUCUCAGUUCGGAUUGAAGUCUGCAACUCGACUUCAUGAAGUUGGAAUCGCUAGUAAUCGCGAAUCAGCAUGUCGCGGUGAAUACGUUCUCGGGGUUUGUACACACCGCCCGUCAAACC
rnacentral:rRNA from 1 species